AACAAUGAAUCGAGGCUUGAAGUGAAAGAACCAUCUUGAUGUCAUGGCAACAGAAGGCAACAGCAAGGAUAGUAGUGCAAGAACCCAGAAGGGCCAUGAUCAGAGAAACAAAAAAAAUGUUUCCAUUGGAAGUCACUGAUCCCAGGAACUGGGAGUGCUGGAGAAUCGUAACAAGCAUUCACAGUGUUUUCUUACCAGUUCAAUGCUUGUGGUAUAUUAUCAAUAUAAGCAAAGUGAUACCUGCUGAGAAGAGAAGUCACCCCAGAAUUAUAACACCAAUUAAGUCUUCGGAAGCAUGGAAACAGUUUUCUCUCCAGAGCGUUGCUGAAAGGAGGAAUGUUUUUUUUUUUUGUUUUUUAAUUGCUAGAGAGUCAAACCAGGACAUUGGACAGAGCUCUUUUUUUCCUUCCGAGGGCUGGAAAAGGAAGAACAUACUGAAGAAUGUGAUCAAGGGUAUCAGCAUGGUAGGAAAAUACAAAGCGACUCUAAGUGCACAAGACUAAUCUUAACUCAUACUUCCUACAUCAAGCAUGUGAUCCCUAAAGACGUGGAUCUGAGAAGGACACUGAGAAGGAGCUAGCAUUACGUUGCCUGUUGCCAGCCACUCCUGGCUAAGGUUACUCUUUCUGUCUGUCUUUCUUUCUUUCUUUCUUUUUUUUUUUACUGUUUUUUCCUUUUUACUUUUUUAACGUCCUGGGAAAACUAUACCUUCCCUGGAGCAGAGCAUUGUCUCUACUCUUCCUUUCCCCCUUGCAGUCUGCUCAUCUACAUCUCUUAAUUGACCCAAAUUGAUUGCAUCAAACAAACUAAGCCUCCCUUUCUCUUUGGUUGCAUGACCACAAUUUAUGCUUUGGGUACCAUUCUUCAGACAAAACAAACCUUCAACACAAGAAAGAAAUUGUUCUACCUUGGUGUCCCAAGUUGAAAGACUGUAACCUCAUUUGAUCUGACCCCACUGCAAAAUGCGCUACAGUAAAAAAGUCCUAAACCCUUUGCCAUUUGUUCAGUGAGCAGUAAUCAAGGUCUUGAAUGGGGACUUAAUCUCUAGAAUGGGUACCAUUUUCCGGAGACUAUGCUGAAAGAUCUUGGCAUCAAAAGCAGAAAACUUGGCAGCGUCAAGGGACAGGAGGGAGUGAUGAAAUACCAAGAGAAGGAGAAAGGUUCUCUUUGGAAUUUUCUAUGCCUCUGUGUCCUCUGCCUGAAAUGGUACUUUCAUUUUUUCUUUCUCAUAGGUUCUUAGUCUUCACGGUCCAGCUUAAGUGUUAUCUCUUUAGGAGAGUCAUCUUUAUUGUCCCUUUGUCCUCUGCCUUUCCCCCUCCUCCCUCAGCCCAGUCAAGGUAAGAGCUACACCCUCUGGGCUGAGGCACUUGUGUGCACACAUCCCUCUGUCGGCACGUGCCUCACACUGGGUUAAGAGAUUCUGAGUGUCUUUCUGUUAUUCCUCCCCAGACUGUGAGAGCCUUGGAAGCAGAGAUCAUGCCUUCCAUCUCUUUCUAUUUUCAUAGAUUGUUAAGAAUCUAGUAGGUAUGCAAUACAGGUAGGAAUGAGCGCCCUGAUGAGUGAAUGAAUGGAAUGAACAAUAUUUUGCCUUGGGUCAUCUGUGAAAAAACUGCUAUCUAAUUAACUGGUAUGAUGAGUAGUUCUACCAAAUAACUUCCAGGAAACUGAUCUCUAAUAACUUUCCCACGUGCCCAAACCAAAAUCGUGGGAAUCAUUUUAUUUCUGUCUCCCACCCUUCCCCUUCCUGUCAAUCUGAUCCCCUUUCCAUCAUAGCUGUGUCUUCCAUCCCGACUGUGACUUCCAUCCCGCAUCUGCUUAGCAGCAUGACUUGUCCACAGCGUAUCCCAGCCCCUACCCACCCCAGCACUCAAAUGGCUGU
ensembl:lncRNA